rnacentral:rRNA from 1 species
CCUACGGGCGGCAGCAGUGAGGAAUAUUGGUCAAUGGGCGAGAGCCUGAACCAGCCAAGUCGCGUGAAGGAUGACGGCCCUACGGGUUGUAACCUUCUUUUGUCAGGGAGCAAUUGAGUCCACGUGUGGGCUUAGCGAGAGUACCUGAAGAAAAAGCCUCGGCAAACUCCGUGCCAGCAGCCGCGGUAAUACGGAGGAUGGGAGCGUUAUCCGGAUUUAUUGGGUUUAAAGGGUGCGUUGGCGGAAUAUCAUGUUAGCGGUAAAAAUUCGGGGCUCAACCCCGUCGUGCCGUUGAAACUGAUGUUCUUGAGUGGGCGAGAAGUAUGCGGAAUGCGUGGUGUAGCGGUGAAAUGCAUAGAUAUCACGCAGAACUCCAAUUGCGAAGGCAGCAUACCGGCGCCCAACUGACGCUGAAGCACGAAAGCGUGGGUAGCGAACAGGAUUAGAUACCCUGGUAGUC